rnacentral:rRNA from 1 species
CGGUCCUUCACCUUUCGGGGUGAAGGAUAGUGGCGAACGGGUGAGUAACGCGUAAGUAACCUGCCCUCAAGUAGGGAAUAACUUUGAGAAAUUGGAGCUAAUACCGUAUGUGGUGAUGAAGGUAAUGCUGCAUCACUAAAGCCUUAGGGCGCUUGGGGAGGGGCUUGCGUCCGAUUAGCUAGCUGGUAGGGUAACGGCUUACCAAGGCGAUGAUCGGUAGCUGGUUUGAGAGGACGGCCAGCCACAUUGGGACUGAGACACGGCCCAGACUCCUAUGGGAGGCAGCAGCAAGGAAUAUUGUGCAAUGGGCGAAAGCCUGACACAGCGACACCGCGUGGGGGAUGAAGGCCUUCGGGUCGUAAACCCCUUUUCUCAGGGAAGAAUAAUGACGGUACCUGAGGAAUAAGUCACGGCUAACUACGUGCCAGCAGCCGCGGUAAUACGUAGGUGGCGAGCGUUAUCCGGAUUUACUGGGCGUAAAGAGGGCGUAGGCGGCUUUUCAAGUCGGAUAUAAAAUCUCCUGGCUUAACUGGG